AUUGAACGCUGGCGGCAGGCCUAACACAUGCAAGUCGAGCGGCAGCGGGAAAGUAGCUUGCUACUUUUGCCGGCGAGCGGCGGACGGGUGAGUAAUGCCUGGGAAAUUGCCCAGUCGAGGGGGAUAACAGUUGGAAACGACUGCUAAUACCGCAUACGCCCUACGGGGGAAGGCAGGGGACCUUCGGGCCUUGCGCGAUUGGAUAUGCCCAGGUGGGAUUAGCUAGUUGGUGAGGUAAUGGCUCACCAAGGCGACGAUCCCCAGCUGGUCUGAGAGGAUGAUCAGCCACACUGGAACUGAGACACGGUCCAGACUCCUACGGGAGGCAGCAGUGGGGAAUAUUGCACAAUGGGGGAAACCCUGAUGCAGCCAUGCCGCGUGUGUGAAGAAGGCCUUCAGGUUGUAAAGCACUUUCAGCGAGGAGGAAAGGUUGUUGGCUAAUAUCCAACAGCUGUGACGUUACUCGCAGAAGAAGCACCGGCUAACUCCGUGCCAGCCGCCGCAGUAAUAC
rnacentral:rRNA from 1 species